rnacentral:tRNA from 1 species
GCCCCCGUGGCCGAGUGGACUUAGGCAACGGACUUCUAAUCCGUACCACGCAGGUUCGAAUCCUGCCGGGGGCG